rnacentral:tRNA from 1 species
UGGCUUAGCGGGUAAGAGCAUUUGCUUUGUAAGCAUGAGGACCUGAGUUCAAAUCCCAA